ACAGGCUUAGCACAUGCCAGUCGAGGGGCAGCACUAUGUAGCAAUACAUUGGUGGCGACCGGCGCACGGGUGAGUAACGCGUAUGCAACCUACCUAUCAGAGGGGAAUAACCCGGCGAAAGUCGGACUAAUACCGCAUAAAACAGGGGUUCCACAUGGAAAUAUUUGUUAAAGAAUUAUCGCUGAUAGAUGGGCAUGCGUUCCAUUAGAUAGUUGGUGAGGUAACGGCUCACCAUGUCCAGGAUGGAUAGGGGUUCUGAGAGGAAGGUCCCCCACACUGGUACUGACACACGGACCAGACUCCUACGGGAGGCAGCAGUGAGGAAUAUUGGUCAAUGGGCGAGAGCCUGAACCAUCCAAGUCGCGUGAAGGAUGAAGGAUCUAUGGUUUGUAAACUUCUUUUAUAUGGGAAUAAAGUGAGGAACGUGUUCCUUUUUGUAUGUACCAUAUGAAUAAGCAUCGGCUAACUCCGUGCCAGCAGCCGCGGUAAUACGGAGGAUGCGAGCGUUAUCCGGAUUUAUUGGGUUUAAAGGGUGCGUAGGUGGUUAAUUAAGUCAGCGGUGAAAGUUUGUGGCUCAACCAUAAAAUUGCCGUUGAAACUGGUUGACUUGAGUAUAUUUGAGGUAGGCGGAAUGCGUGGUGUAGCGGUGAAAUGCAUAGAUAUCACGCAGAACUCCGAUUGCGAAGGCAGCUUACUAAACUAUAACUGACACUGAAGCAAGAAAGCGUGGGGAUCAAACAGGAUUAGAUACCCUGGUAGUCCACGCAGUAAACGAUGAUCACUAGCUGUUUGCGAUACACAGUAAGCGGCACAGCGAAAGCGUUAAGUAAUCCACCUGGGGAGUACGCCGGCAACGGUGAAACUCAAAGGAAUUGUCGGGGGCCCGCACAAGCGGAGGAACAUGUGGUUUAAUUUGAUGAUACGCGAGGAACCUUACCCGGGUUUGAACGCAUAUUGACAGCUCUGGAAACAGAGUCUCUAGUAAUAGCAAUUUGCGAGGUGCUGCAUGGUUGUCGUCAGCUCGUGCCGUGAGGUGUCGGCUUAAGUGCCAUAACGAGCGCAACCCUUAUCACUAGUUACUAACAGGUCAUGUUGAGGACUCUAGUGAGACUGCCAGCGUAAGCUGU
rnacentral:rRNA from 1 species